UACGGAGGGUGCAAGCGUUAAUCGGAAUUACUGGGCGUAAAGCGCACGCAGGCGGUUCGCCAAGUUUGGAGUGACAGUUGUCGGCUCAACCGACAAAGGACUUCAAAAACUGGUGAACUUGAGGACGAGAGAGGAACAUGGAACUCCAGGUGUAGUAGUGAAAUGCGUAGAUAUCUGGAAGAACACCAAUGGCGAAGGCAAUGUUCUGGCUUGUUUCUGACGCUCAGGUGCGAAAGCCAGGGGAGCGAACGGG
rnacentral:rRNA from 1 species